GUCCCUGUAGCCCAAUGGUUAGCGGAAUUGGACUUCUGAUCCAAAGGUCGUGGGUUCAAAUCUCACCUGGGAUG